ACCUGAGUGGCUCAGUUGGUUGAGUGUCUGACUUUGGCUCAGGUCAGGAUCUCACAGUUUGUGAGUUCAAGCCCCACUUCAGGCU
rnacentral:tRNA from 1 species